GCAAGGCUGGGAUUCCCGCACGAGCCCACCCAGCAGCCAGAAGGAGGCUCGGUGGCACCCAGCCCUCCGGCAAGACCAGGCCCGCGCCAUCCCGCUCCCUCCAGUGGGCGCCCGCAGGACCCAGGAGCGCAGCGGCCUUUUGCCCAGGGCCCCCUAAAGGCAUGGAGCUUGAGAGCGUCCAAACAGCCCUUCGACUCCGCGGCGCCCUUUCCUGACUUAAAAUAGUCAGCUUGCACCAUUAUUCACACGAUCGAAGUUGCUCUGUGCCUAGAUUUUCCUCCAAGGACAAAAAUGUGAAUAAAGCAAUAUUUCAGCCAAACAUUUCUGUGUCAAUUACGAAGACGGCAAUUCGUUCCAGACUAUAAAUUCUCUUUAACAGCCCUCUAAGGUAUUCUUUAAAAUUGUUUUUCAACAUUGCUAAAUGUGCAUCGUAAUGUGUGAGAGACUCGUGAGAAGGGAGUUAAUUUACAUAGUCAGCUGAUUAAUUGAUCGAGCGUUACCACCUGAGAGGAGGCACCUUUCCAUUGUUUCCUCGUUUUCCCCCAGCACAUGUUAUUUCUUAGUGAGGAAGCGAAGUGCAUAGGGUAUUGUGUUAACUUUAUUACACAGGCGUGGGCCUUAAACUAGGAAAAGCUUAGCCUAGCUCUACAUUUAAAACUUCACAUUUCUAUAAGUUAUGGGACAAGAUACACAGGUUGCUUUUGUAAGCUAGAAUUGAACAUAAUUUUUUUUUAAAUUUAAUCACAGGAAUAUUUUUUAAGGCACCCAGCAUCUCCAGUUAGUAGUACUGACUUUCUUUUUUCCAACAAAGGAACACUAUAUCAACACUCUUGAACCGGAUCUGGACACAGAAGACUCCUGUUUCAAGAAAAUACAAUCAUCUCUCAAAGUCUGUAAUUUAUAUGCAUUUUAACUGACUAGGUAUUGAAAACCACCCAAGAGUCCCACAGCAUGGGGUAAAAUAUAAUCAAUCACUCAGUGUAAUAUUAUACAUCCUUUAAAAAUGUUAUUGGAAAAUGUUUUAUGAUCUGUAAGUCGAAAUAACCCUCUCCCACCACUUCUUUCUCCCUGCUGCUUCCCCAAACCCAUGCUUCUUUGUUCCAAUUGGCAUGUAAACUUGUUUUUCCCGCCAAAUGAGUCAGUCAUGAUGGGAACGGCAAUUGAUUUGAACAGAUGUGUGUCAAUGUUACUUGGAAAACUAGAUGCCAAUAACCAGGACCACAAAAAAGGCAGUGGUUGCAACUCUGUAAAAAUUUAUGUGUGCAUACAGACAAGGACUGAAAUGGAACCCAAACAAAACAGGAAAACAGUUGGAUAUACUCCAGUGCUGGGAGAUUCAAUGAUUGUAUGCUGCUUUUGAUUUCCGUUCAUAUGGGCAACUGUCCAAUUAAAAAGACCUAAUAAGGAC